UGGGGAAUAUUGCACAAUGGGCGGAAGCCUGAUGCAGCAACGCCGCGUGCGGGAUGACGGCCUUCGGGUUGUAAACCGCUUUCAGUAGGGACGAAGCGCAAGUGACGGUACCUACAGAAGAAGCACCGGCCAACUACGUGCCAGCAGCCGCGGUGAUACGUAGGGUGCGAGCGUUGUCCGGAAUUAUUGGGCGUAAAGAGCUUGUAGGCGGUUGGUUGCGUCGUAAGUGAAAACUCAGGGCUUAACCCUGGGGUUGAUUGCGAUACGUGCUGACUUGAGGAAGGUAGGGGAGAAUGGAAUUCCCGGUGGAGCGGGGGAAUGCGCAGAUAUCGGGAGGAACACCAGUGGCGAAGGCGGUUCUCUGGACCUUUCCUGACGCUGAGAAGCGAAAACGUGGGGAGCAAACA
rnacentral:rRNA from 1 species